rnacentral:snRNA from 8 species
AUCGCUUUUCGGCCUUUUGGCUCAGAUCAAGUGUAGUAUUUGUUUUUAUCAGUUUAAUAUUUGAUACGUCCCCCAUCGGGGGACUACAUAUUAAAUGGAUUUUUUGAACAGGGAGUCGGAAAUGGGGCUUGCUCCGUCCGCUCCACGCAUCGACCCGGUAUUGCAGUACCUCCGGGAACGGUGCAACACUU